GACAGAGGGGGCAAGCGUUGCUCGGAAUCACUGGGCGUAAAGGGCGCGUAGGCGGGAUGACAAGUCGGUCGUGAAAUCCCUGGGCUCAACUCAGGGGGGUCGGCCGAUACUGCCAUUCUUGAGGGAUGCAGAGGAGACUGGAAUUCCCGGUGUAGCGGUGAAAUGUGUAGAGAUCGGGAGGAACACCGGUGGCGAAGGCGGGUCUCUGGGCAUUCCCUGACGCUGAGGCGCGAAAGCUAGGGGAGCAAACAGG
rnacentral:rRNA from 1 species